rnacentral:lncRNA from 1 species
UUAAAACCGGAUUUUUAAAGAUGAUCCUCUUUAGAUUUUGGAGAGUUGAAAUUUUUUGAAAGCGUGAAAUUUUUUUUUAAUAUAUCUGCCAAAACAAUAUUUCUCAGCUGCUAUGACUCAAUUUUAGGAAUUAGAGUAAAUAUAUAUAUAUAUAUAUGUACAUAUGGGGCAUUCUUUGUCAAGCGGGCCACCCGCCGUUCCAAAAUUGUAUUUGACGUAGAAGAACCAUCUUGCACACAAAUUUAGUUACAGGCAAGAGCUAUCAAAAGCCAUGUGCGCUUUUAAAAAAUUCAAAAUGGCGGAGCUAAUAUGGCGGAUAUAAGAGUGCAAAAUGUAAAAUAGUUCAUAGAUUUACUUCAAUUCUGUUUUCUAAGAGUUUUCGAGGAUGCUAAUUACGAAACUGCUGUCAAAUUUUAAAAAUUAAAAAUGGCUGAUUCAAUAUGGCGGAUAUAAAAGUGUAAAAUGUAGAAUAGUUUACACAAUUACUUAAAUCUUGUUUACUGUUCACUGUUGAGAAACAGUGUAGUGUAAAAUAUAAGUCAAAUGUCGCGUCUGGAAUAUGUCUGAAGAGAGAUCGCUUGAUUACACGCGAAAAGACAAUCAAGCAGUAGCGUCACUUCUAAACAAAUGAAUAUCUCGCGCGUCUCCGUCACGGAUAUAGGAAUGUAGAAUUGAAUUUUUCAAAACCGCACAUGCCUUUCGAUAGCUCUUGCCUGUAACUAAAUUUGUGUGCAAGAUGGUUCUUCUACGUCAAAUACAAUUUUGGAACGGCGGCCCGCUUGACAAAGAAUGCCCCAUAUGUACAUAUAUAUAUAUAUUCACUUUAAUUCCUAAAAUUGAGUCAUAGCAGCUGAGAAAUAUUGUUUUGGCAGAUAUAUUUAAAAAAAAUUUCACGCAACUCUCCAAAAUCUAAAGAGGAUCAUCUUUAAAAAUCCGGUUUUAACUAAUUAAUGUUUUCAGAAGGAUUCGUAGUUCGCUUGCUGAUCCGUACAAACGUGCGAUUUCUCUCUCUACACUUUGGCUUAUUAUUCAACUGCUGACUUUGAUACUCAACUAAGUGAAUCGGCUUAUCCAUAUCUUUUUUCUAUCAUAUCUUCUCAAGCUGAAAUUGAAGAUCUGCAAUCUAUUACAUCUAGAUUUUAUGUAUUAAGCGACCGUCUUCGACUUGAGCACAUUUCUCUUAUGUACGCAGUACCACCAUUUUCAAAUCACCACCACGUGGAAAACUUGAGAAAUUAUUCGAAUAAUUUUCAUCAUCUAUAUAUACUAUUCGAGGACGAUUUGAUUUGAGAUGGCAUCAUUAAUUUAAUUAUCUAACCUAUGAUAACAA